rnacentral:rRNA from 1 species
AUACGAAGGUCCCGAGCGUUAUUCGGAAUCACUGGGCGUAAAGGGAGCGUAGGCUGUAGGGUAAGUCAGAUGUGAAAUCUCAGAGCUCAACUCUGAAACUGCAUCCGAUACUGCCGUACUAGAGUAAUGGAGGGGGAACUGGAAUUCUCGGUGUAGCAGUGAAAUGCGUAGAUAUCGAGAGGUAGACCAACGGCGAAGGCAGGUUACUGGACAUUUACUGACGCUGAGGCUCGAAGGCUAGGGUAGCGAAAGGGAUUAGAAACCCCAGUAGUCC